CCAGGUAUACAGUUUGUUGUCCGGUCCAUGGAGAUAAUUUUGUUGAACAUUGUACGCGGCUUCUUUUCUCAUCUUUUAGAAACAAUGCCAUUGCGCAGCUUGGUUCCCUAUGCCUUUUGUUUAUUGCUUUGCUGAUAGGGCAAAUCGAUGUGGUUGUCAUCAUGCAGCGAUGUGCUUCGUGUGUUGACAAUUCGGUAAACGCUUGUCUAUCGUUUGCCACAGCUAAGAAUGCCGGUAACGGAUGAAACUGUGCCCCUUGGGUGGCGUUUUUCGUUGGUCUUGGCAAGCUUAUUACCUCGUAUAGUGUGAAUCCAAAUGGGAACUCGAACACAGGUGUCUCCCAUUUGAAUAGAAGGGCUCAAUGACCAUCCAGAUGGCAAGAUUGCUUUUAUUUCCUUUAACACUGCUUGGAUUUGCAUAGGUGGGAAAAGUAGUGCUGGAAGUCUUUCCAUUGCCAUUGUUGCUAGGCCGACGGCAAAAUCUUCAAUCGAUUCGUCCAGCCAUGCCAAGGCUGACUUGAUUUCACGAAAGGUGUUUUCAAUGGCUGCUCUGGCUAUUUCAUGUUUUUCAACUUCUUGGCGUUUUGCAGUUCUUCAACGGCGUUCGACGUUGAUUUUGUUU